rnacentral:rRNA from 1 species
GAUGAACGCUGGCGGCGUGCCUAAUACAUGCAAGUCGAGCGAACGGACGAGAAGCUUGCUUCUCUGAUGUUAGCGGCGGACGGGAGAGUAACACGUGGAUAACCUACCUAUAAGACUGGGAUAACUUCGGGAAACCGUAGCUAAUACCGGAUAAUAUUUUGAACCGCAUGGUUCAAAGGUGAAAGACGGUCUUGCUGUCACUUAUAGAUGGAUCCGCGCUGCAUUAGCUAGUUGGUAAGGUAACGGCUUACCAAGGCAACGAUGCAUAGCCGACCUGAGAGCGUGAUCGGCCACCCUGGAUCUGAGACACGGUCCAGACUCCUGCGGGAGGCCGCAGUAGGGAAUCUUCCGCAAUGGGCGAGAGCCUGACGGAGCAACGCCGCGUGAGUGCUGAAGGUCUUCUGAUCGUAAAACUCUGUUAUUAGGGAAGAACAUAUGUGUAUGUAACUGUGCACAUCUUGACGGUACCUAGUCAGAAAGCCCCGGCUAACUACGUG